GGGCCUAUAGUUUAUCGGUAAAAUAGGUCGAUGGCAUCGACCAGUGCGGGGUUCGACUCCCCGUAGGUCCA
rnacentral:tRNA from 1 species